AAGCAAGCCAGUAAAGAACAUCCCUCCAUGGCUUCUGCAUCAGAUCCUGCUUCCUGACCUGCUUGAGUUCCAGUCCUGACUUCCUUGGUGAUAAACAGCAAUGUGGAAAUCCUCUGUGGGAAACCAGCAAGCUGGAUUCAUCAACCCCACCUGAGUGGUGAAGGCGUACAAUUUAAAGAGUUGCAAAACUCCUACUUUCCUUUCUCCCACACUGGGAAGCCAUUGCUUCUCCUGGGCACGGCAAUGUUUUCACAUCACAGGGAACAGAUCCUGUGAGUGCUAUCAGGCCACCUGUAUCCUAAUGUGCGAAAGGUCCAAAAGGAGCAGUGGGUUCCUUGAAUGACAUAAUCUCAUGAAGCUCAAGCCAGCCUUCCUUCAACUUGUUAUGCACCCUUCACUGUCUCUGAACUCUUGAUGCUCCUGUUUCUAUGUCCCAAGAGCAGGGGACAACAGGCACAUGUUACUAUAACCCCCAAAGGUUUUGUAUAGUGAAAUCUUAAUGAAAAUAAAGCCAUAGUUGGUUUCCAGGCAUGUAUCAUAUGAAAAAAGAAGUUGUUUUCAAAGAUCAAUCAACAAAAUACUUUGAUUUCUUAGACUUUUACAAAUGUUCUCGUACUCUUUAUCUUACUUACUUUUCAAAUUGAUGACCAAACACCCAACAAAAGGCAAUUUAAGGGUGGAACUGUUGCGGGAAAUAUUAAAAAUGGAUCCCACCAACUCUCUGGAGCUAGCAACCCCCGCCCUCAGCAUCUGGCCCGCUUGUCCCAAGAGCCAUUAGUUCCUUCUCUGCUAUAAUCCCCUGUAACUGGCUGUCCCACAUUCCAGUAACCAAGUAGAUCUGCCAUCCUCGUGGUUUGAUCACACAUUAUCCAGUGACCUGGUAAAAUUAAGACUCUUAAGCUUAUAACCAAUUAGACUUAUGUAUCAAGAUGCCAAUAAAUAAUUUCAGAGCCAAUUG